GAACUCAUACCUUUCUCGGCCUUUUGGCUAAGAUCAAGUGUAGUAUCUGUUCUUAUCAGUUUAAUAUCUGAUAUGUGGGCCAAUGGUCCACACGAUAUUAAAUUAAUCUUUUAAAGGGGAAGGGCCACUACGGUAGCUUGCUGCUGGGUCCUUCAAGUGUCGCCCUUGUGUUGCACUAUUGCAUGGGCUGGCACACCUUCUAAUCUAGUUCUAUGUUUAUUCCUGGGCAGACACUCUUUAAUCUAUAUGUAUAUUUCUUGAUUGUUUUUAUGGUAUGUUAAUUUUUUAUUGUAAAAUCCUAAUUGUAGGAGCUACCACCUCUUUCUCUUUUUAAGUGUAAUAACAGUGCAUUAUAAUCAUACAUCAAAUAAAAGAAAUCCAAAAUUAUUAGUGUUAGAAUUAUACAUUUUCAUAAAUUAUUCAUGCAUUUAUCUCUAUUGAAGAAUAAAAUAAUUUUAUACUAGCAUUUGCCCAGUUAUCUAGAAAAGUAUUUGUAAUUAGUAUGUUUUGUUAUUAGGUGAGGUAAUUAAAAAUUGUGUUGGUAGUUAAUCACUCCUCUCUUAAAAUUGAAAGAUACUAUUAUUAAUAUCUAAGUUACCGAAGUCUUUAGUCCCUCAAAAACAGUGUAUGUAUUGAGACAUGAGUUAAUGGCUGAACCAUGGAAUGUUAAUUAUUUUGAUUAUUCUUAUCUAUUAACACCCUAUAUAUAUAUAUAUAUAUAUAUAUAUAUAUAUAUAUAUAUAUAUAUAUAUAUAUAUAUAUAUAUUGAAGUUCAUUGUAGGGGAAGGACAGAAAAAGAGCUUUUUUGUUUAAUUUAGACUGGUAAUUGUGAUCUCACAGUUUUAUCUCAACAAAUAACUUGAAUAAUUGUCUCUUGUUGCUUGCUUGUGAAGAUUUUAUCUUGUGUUUUUUUACUCUUAAUAGCAUUCAAACGUUUCCAUUAAUUUAUUGGCAGAUGGCUGAUGACCAUCCUUAUACUAUUCCUGAGAUGGAUCCUACUCUUCGGAAACAAAUUCAGGAGUGUAAUUGGCAGAUUGUGAAUGUUACAACUCCUGCAAAUUUUUUCCAUGUUUUACGCCGGCAGGUUUGUAGUCCACACCAUCAUUCAAUUGGUGUUAGUUUGGUCACUUGAUUUUUGGUACUUAUUUUCUCACUGUUGCAUUGUUUUCUUCCAGAUACACAGGGAAUUCCGUAAACCUCUUAUAGUAAUGUCCCCUAAGAACCUGCUUCGUAGUAAGGUUUGCAGAUCAAACUUAUCUGAGUUUGAUGAUGUUCAAGGACAUCCCGGUUUUGACAAACAGGGAACCAGAUUUAAGCGCCUCAUAAAAGACCAAAAUAAUCACUCAGACGUUGAAGGGGGUAUAAGACGUUUAGUACUUUGCUCUGGAAAGGUGUGUGAUCCUGAUUGGAACUACUGAAUUUUAUGUUAUCUGUGUUUGUAAAUUUUAUGUACUGCUUCGAUCGGUAUAAACUUUUUACAUCGAUUUCUUGUAUUCCUUGCAGGUUUACUAUGAACUUGACGAACAGCGAACAAAGGAAGAUGCAAAGGAUGUUGCAAUAUGUAGGGUGGAACAGCUUUGUCCUUUCCCUUAUGAUCUUGUGCAACGAGAGCUUAAACGAUAUCCAAGUACGUCUUUUCAACGUUGAAGCUUUGGAGUCUGUUGCUGUUAUUAGUUAUUUUACAUUAUACUUUGUUGUGUUUUUGGCAGAUGCGGAGGUUGUCUGGUGUCAAGAAGAGCCAAUGAACAUGGGUGGAUACACAUAUGUUUUACCCCGGCUCGUAACUUCCAUGAAGGCUGUAGGUAGAGGAGGCUAUGAAGAUGUUAAAUAUGUUGGUCGUGCUCCUUCUGCAGCAACAGCUACUGGUUUCCUCAAGGUUCACCAUAAGGAGCAGGCUGAGCUAGUUCAGAAAGCCAUUCAACGAGAACCAAUCAAUUUCCCUUACUGAGGCACAGCAUCUUCAUGCUUUCUGCAGAGUGAAGAAGGCAAUAAUUGGAGGGCAGCUUGGAAAAUUAUUAAUAUUUGUUUUCUUUUUGUCUUUAUGUAGAGGUAGUUUUUCUUUGGUACCAAGUGGUAAACUUGGUCAAUUGUUCUCCAACAGGUAAAAUUUUUCUUAUUGUGAUUAUUAUUAUUAUUACUGACUAGUUUCGAUGUAUAACUACUGUAGUCUAGGUUUCAGAAAUUGGAUUCGCUUUGAGACAGUUUAGACUUAGUUGUAUCUCGUAUGUAUGUACUGUUUGUUCAGUGUAUUUUGCUAAAAAAUAAAGGGAAAAGAAAUCAGGAAUUUAAGUCUGUAUUUUUCCAUCGUUUUUACACGAGACAAGAGUUGUGGACACUGAAGAACAAUCAAUUAGUGGACUCAACCAUGGCUAUGAAUAAGACUUCCUAGAAAGCAAUUUGCACCUGUGAGAAUCAUGCAAACAUGUUUGAUGCUGCGAAGAAACUCUUAUCCCUGUUUCUGCCCAUAUCAUCCAAGGUUUGCAGCAAUGGCUAGCUGUAUCAUUUUGGAAUCAUGUUGCUGCAGCCAAGCUUUUUUAUCCAAGUUGUAAGAAUUUUCAGCUCAAACAGCAAUUUUCUGCCCCUAAGCUUAGGAAAUAGGUAAAAAUAAUUUGUACCACAGCUGAUGAACCUGGUCAAUUUUCUUAUUCAGCUUUUAGACCAUUUAAUUUCAAGUGCUUUUUGUUGUUUUGUGGACAGUCAAACAGGUGAUCGGGAAUAUACUCAGCGACAACCUUUAUUAUGAGUCACUCCUAAGUCCCACACAGAUUAUAGUAGUUAACAGAAACCUGAUAAUAUACAAUAAAACGAACCUCCUAAUACAUCGCAACUCAUACCUUUCUCGGCCUUUUGGCUAAGAUCAAGUGUAGUAUCUGUUCUUAUCAGUUUAAUAUCUGAUAUGUGGACCAAUGGUCCACACGAUAUUAAAUUAAUUUUUUAAAGGGGAAGGGCCAUAACGGUAGCUUGCUACUGGGUCCUUCAAGUGUCGCCCUUGUGUUGCACUAUAGCAUGGGCUGGCACACCCUCUAAUAUAGUUCUAUAUUUUCUUUUUUAAGUAGCUGUGCUUUGUAGAAUAUCUAUGUUAGUUAUAUAUUUAGGGUUUUUCUGAUUGAUGUGAAUGUUAUCAAGUUUAAAUUAUAUUAUUGUACAAUGGUUGAUAUUUAAUUAUUGUACAAAAGUUGACAAAAAAAAAAAUAACUUAUUUC
rnacentral:lncRNA from 1 species